GUACGCGAGUUUGAUCCUGGCUCAGGACGAACGCUGGCNGGGCGCCUUAUGCAUGCNAAGUCGAGCGAAGCUUUUCAGUAGUUUACUACAGAAAAUGACUGAGCGGCGAACGGGUGAGUAACGCGUGAGCAAUCUACCUUAGUUACAGGGAUAGCCCGAGGAAACUCGGAUUAAUACCUGAUAUUCUUUACAUUUCGCAUGAAAUUAAAAGGAAAGGUCAGCCGAACUAAGAUGAGCUCGCGUUCUAUCAGCUAGUUGGUGAGGUAAAAGCUCACCAAGGCAACGACGGAUAGCUGGUCUGAGAGGACGAUCAGCCACACUGGGACUGAGACACGGCCCAGACUCCUACGGGAGGCUGCAGCAGGGAAUAUUGUGCAAUGAACGAAAGUUUGACACAGCGACACCGCGUGUGGGAUGAC
rnacentral:rRNA from 1 species